GUCAAAAAGGCUUUUGGCACUUUGGCCUUCAUCAGUCAGAGUACAGAGUAUAGAAUUGGGAGGUCAUGUUGCAGUUGUCUAAGACGUUGCUGAGACCGUAUUUCGAAUAUUGUGUUCAGUUCUGGGCACAAUGUUAGAGGAAAGACAUUGUCAAGCUUGAAAGGGUUCAGAGAAGAUUUAC